AUUGAACGCUGGCGGCAGGCUUAACACAUGCAAGUCGAGCGAGUGGCGGACGGGUGAGUAACGUAUGGGAAACUGCCUGAUGGAGGGGGAUAACUACUGGAAACGGUAGCUAAUACCGCAUACCAUCAGAUGUGCCCAGAUGGGAUUAGCUAGUAGGUGGGGUAAUGGCUCACCUAGGGGACGAUCCCUAGCUGGGCUGAGGGGAGGACCAGCCACGCUGGAACUGAGACACGGUCCGGACUCCUACGGGAGGCAGCAGUGGGGAAUAGUGCACAAUGGGCGGGAGCCUGGUGGGGACAUGCCGCGUGUGUGAAGAAGGCCUGCGGGUUGUAAAGGUAUUUCAGCGAGGAGGCGGUACUCGCAGAAGAAGCACCGGCUAACUCCGUGCCAGCAGCCGCGGUAAUAC
rnacentral:rRNA from 1 species